rnacentral:rRNA from 1 species
CCUACGGGAGGCAGCAGUGGGGAAUAUUGGACAAUGGGCGAAAGCCUGAUCCAGCCAUGCCGCGUGUGUGAAGAAGGCCUUCGGGUUGUAAAGCACUUUCAGUGGGGAAGAAAGCCUUGGGGCUAAUACCCUCGAGGAAGGACAUCACCCACAGAAGAAGCACCGGCUAACUCCGUGCCAGCAGCCGCGGUAAUACGGGGGGUGCGAGCGUUAAUCGGAAUUACUGGGCGUAAAGCGCGCGUAGGCGGUCUGAUAAGCCGGUUGUGAAAGCCCCGGGCUCAACCUGGGAACGGCAUCCGGAACUGUCAGGCUAGAGUGCAGGAGAGGAAGGUAGAAUUCCCGGUGUAGCGGUGAAAUGCGUAGAGAUCGGGAGGAAUACCAGUGGCGAAGGCGGCCUUCUGGACUGACACUGACGCUGAGGUGCGAAAGCGUGGGUAGCAAACAGGAUUAGAUCCCCGGUAGU